ensembl:snRNA U6 U6 spliceosomal RNA
GUGCUCGCUCCAGCAGCACAUAUCCUAAAAUUGGAAUGAUACAAGAAGAUUAGCAAGGCCCCUAUGCAAGGAUGACACGCAAAUUCAUGAAGCUUUCCAAAUUUAA